rnacentral:rRNA from 1 species
GAUGAACGCUGGCGGCGUGCCUAAUACAUGCAAGUCGAGCGAACAGACGAGAAGCUUGCUCCUCUGAUGUUAGCGGCGGACGGGUGAGUAACACGUGGAUAACCUACCUAUAAGACUGGGAUAACUUCGGGAAACCGGAGCUAAUACCGGAUAAUAUUUUGAACCGCAUGGUUCAAUAGUGAAAGACGGUCUUGCUGUCACUUAUAGAUGGAUCCGCGCCGCAUUAGCUAGUUGGUAAGGUAACGGCUUACCAAGGCAACGAUGCGUAGCCGACCUGAGAGGGUGAUCGGCCACACUGGAACUGAGACACGGUCCAGACUCCUACGGGAGGCAGCAGUAGGGAAUCUUCCGCAAUGGGCGAAAGCCUGACGGAGCAACGCCGCGUGAGUGAUGAAGGUCUUCGGAUCGUAAAACUCUGUUAUUAGGGAAGAACAUAUGUGUAAGUAACUAUGCACGUCUUGACGGUACCUAAUCAGAAAGCCACGGCUAACUACGUG